UUACUACCUUGCCCUGCUGUCCACGCGUCCGUGUGCUAUACGAACUCUCGAGGUUUCGAUUUGGGCCACGCGUCGAUCAUCGUUGGAUGCCCUGUUUUGACUGUGUUUGCUUUACCUUUCGUUUUCCUUCUUUCUUUUGCAAAUUUGCUCAGUUGCUUACCCCUCUGUGUUUCUCUCACUCUCAAACGUUUUCCACCUGCAUCUUCCUUCGGUUUAACUUUCGAUUUCGUUUUGCUUUGUGCUUUCUCGCUGUCAAAUGAUGUUCUAUUUUUGUGAGAGUCGUCAUCCCAAAACGUUGUUGUCUUUCUGUGAGAGAGUUGUAUAAAAAAUUUCCAAAUAUUUGUCUCUCUCUGAGUCUGGGAUUUGGGUCUAUUUGGAAGGCCUCUUCGCAUCUGUGAAGCUGAGGAGCAGCAGUUUGAGAUUGUUGAGUUGAGUCGUCUCCAAAAAUCCAACCCCCACACUGUAUCAGGAUCCAUCACCAUCUCGCGGUGCCUUGCUCAAAUCGGCUCUGCACUCAUCAUCAAGACUCUGCCUUCACGGAGGACUCCACUUAUCCCGUCACUGAUAAAGGGGUUUCUCAAUCUGUUGUCUGGACUGAAGAAAAGGAGGAUGGGGCUCUCAAAAAUUUCAUAUCCGAGAAAAGACAAAGGACUUUAAGGACAUCCUCAAGGUGCAGCGGUAGAAUCAAACUCUCGAGUUGUGUUUGGUUACUCCAUCAAAACUCCUACCCAAAUUGAUUUGUUCUCAAAACAAUCUCAUAAAAUAACAAUAGUGAACAACUAACAGAACUUCGACUGAAAUUGUUCUUGGGUUGCUGAUAAAAAGUCUCCUCAGCAACCAAAUGGAGGGUUAGGUAUCUUGGAAAUAUUUAUGUGCAUUGAAUUAGGUAUGAAUCGGUAGAAGAUUGUGCAGACGAUGAUGAAGCAAAGCAGGUGAUUUACAAUAAUGUGUAUGAAAAACAUUUGAAUGCUGAGAACCUAUUAUAUUCGCAACAUGAUACAACAGAUCAACACCUUCAUCAGCAUAGGUGGUAUUAAUUUUCCUUUGACUAGAAAUUUAGAGGCUUAAGAAGUUAGCAUGAGAUUUUCGCAUGACAUGGAUGAUGAAUAUGAGAAACUCAUCUGGGGAAUGAACCCACCAAGGUAUAUGCAAAAAUCAUUCCUUUGGGUUCAUAUAGAAGUAUGAUUGAACAUUAGAAUCAUAGAAUGUAAAUAAAUAAAUUUUAAUAUAGAUGAGAAUAAAUUUAAUAUAUUUCACAUGUUUAACACA